UCUAGACAGUCUCUUUUGUUAUGUGCUGUGGUCCGUCAUCAAAUGCACCAGUGCGUUUAUAGAAAAACAAAACAACUAUACCGCACUGAGAAAAUAUAAUUCUCGUCAACAAAGAGAGGUAUGCAGCUUCGGGACAGAGGAGGCGGGUACGUGUGAUCUCGUGACUUCAGGGGAAAGCUCGAACUCAUUGUGGGGCGCAGAUGAAAAAUGGAAGAGUUACCACUGCUGGCCACAUUGGCAAACGAGAGAAAUCCACUUUCAAACUUGCAGCAGAUGUCGAGGGAAAUAGCCUUCCGUUCGAAAUCAAAUUUACUUCAUGGUCACUGUUAUUUCACAUUUUCAGAUCCGCUCGAGCAUGAUGGAGUCAAUAAUGUGAAGCAAUAAUAGGCUGACAAGGAUCAAUCUUGGCAGCCUGGCGAAUACGCUGUCUGCGUCUCAAUACACAACCCCAAUCAACAUUUGGGCGUUGAGGGCCUGAAGAGACAAGUCUUCAGGGGGAGACGUCUCACUCGCCAAGAAACCGCCCAAGACUUCAGACCUACCUUAAGACCGGCUCGUGCAAUGAAGGCUGGGACCGUGCAAGUGUGUGUGAUGCUGAAACAGCUCAACGAGCUCCCGCCUCAGGAGUCCCAUUUCUGAGGGCCGCUGGCCUGCCGGCCGGAGCGUGUGAAAGCAGAUAACCAGGGCAAAUUUCAUGACUCACACACUUCCUGCUCUGUGAAGUUGCAUUAAAAGCUGUGGGGGGAAAAAGCGCAACCCUGAUGUUCUAGCUCCAAAUCGAUUGUUACACAUUAAGCAUGUUGGCUUCACCCCGGAGCGUGUUCAAAGAGUUGGUACCAUGGCCAUAAUGUGCCCGGAAUAGGAAAAUAACAUGACGCGGGCGGAGAGAUCGCUUCGGCCGAUGAAUACACCGUCUUGCGUUUUCCAACAGUCCUGAUACUGGCCACGUGGGGUUGAGGUGUAUUCAGUUUUGUAUUGUAUUCAGAGAUGUAACUUACUUGGUAAUCACCUAUAUCAAUGAAAGUUCACUAAAUAGUGUUUUGCGUGAUAUUCAUGGGGCCCUAGGUGUGAGGUUUCUCUGAAUAUAUGGCUGUUUUGGGGGUUCAGUUUUGCCUUUUACAUUCCAAUAAAUAUGAAAGCAUUUCGGCUCUGCCUCGGCUCGAACACAUACAGACCCCUACUCUUCUUGUC